GUCGCGGAUGCGGCCGCCCGUCCCCGUCGUCGCACCGCUGAAUGGCGCCACGCCUGAAAGUUUGGCGAAGCACCGCAUUAAGUCGAGCAAUGCCAUUGGCCAUGUGCGCCACGACGUCAAACCAACAGCGGCUAUGUUGCCGGGACUCUCUCCAACAGACUUGCUAUGGUGCAACCAACAAAAGCAGGCGAGCUGCAAGCGUACCUGCUGUUAUCCGAGAACUUGAUGACGUUGUUGUCGUUACUGGUGUCCUGAGUGGCCGUGAUGAGAGAGAAGAGAGAUCCAG